GUAGGUGGCAAGCGUUGUCCGGAAUUAUUGGGCGUAAAGCGCGCGCAGGCGGUUCUUUAAGUCUGAUGUGAAAGCCCACGGCUCAACCGUGGAGGGUCAUUGGAAACUGGAGAACUUGAGUACAGAAGAGGAAAGCGGAAUUCCACGUGUAGCGGCGAAAUGCGUAGAGAUGUGGAGGAACACCAGUGGCGAAGGCGGCUUUCUGGUCCGUAACUGACGCUGAGGCGCGAAAGCGUGGGGAGCAAACAGGGAUUAGAUACCCUGGUAGUCCACGCCAUAAACGAUGAGUGCUAAGUGUUAGGGGGUUUCCGCCCCCUUAGUGCUGCAGCUAACGCAUUAAGCACUCCGCCUGGGGAUACGGCCGCAAGGCUG
rnacentral:rRNA from 1 species